UCCCCAGUGCUGGGAUUAAAGGUGAGUGUCACCAUUUCCUGGCUCAGCCGGCUCUUAUGCAAGUGCAUUGAGCUAAGAGCCCCCCUCCCCGAAUAUCAGUUAUUGAUCAAGAACACGCAGGAAAAUGGAAAUCAGGAAAUGGGUUUCCUCCAUUACCUUUCUGUCUCCUUCCUGUAGAGCUCAGGGGUGACACUGAAAUGCUCACCGUACUUCUAAGUCUCGUCCACAGCCUCUGACAGCCACACAUCCCAGCUGCUCUAGUUCCUUCCGUCGCUAUGGUAAAUACUCUGACCAAGAGCAACUUAGUGCAAGGCAGGGUUCAUUUCAGCUUACACCUCCAAGUUGCAGUCUACCACCCAGGGUGGUCAGCGAAGCAACUUAAGCAGAAACCUGAAGGCGGGCCUGCUUGCUGUUCCUUGCUGCUUCAUCUCUGACUGAGAAACGCACAGCCAAGAAGUACAGCAGUCCCACAGAGGAUGAUGCCGGCUGGCUGGCUCGAGCUUAACUACCUUUCUGAAGUGUUCAACCUUGACUCUCACCUCCCACAUCUGUGUGAAAACAGCUGGCUCAGUGUGUAAUCGCUGCAGGACAAACCCUUAGUCACACUUCCAACCUGACUGACACCUCCAGAACCGAAACUCAAAACCACGUACACAAAGGAACCUCCUUCUAGAAGUUCUGGGUAAGGUAGCUCAGGGCUGCUUACCCGAAGGCUCAGCAGCAGCACUGUGAUCCAGGUUUUUGCUUUUUUUGUUUGUUUUUGGCUCAACUUCCUCAACCAUUGGCCUCAGCCUCAGGGGUUCAAUAUGGCUACAGCAAUCCUAGACAUCACAUCUGCAUCACUGGUGUCCAGAGAUUAUUGCCUCUUCCUUCAGAUCAGCUACUACCUCCUCCAGAGAGCCAUCCCUGCUGUCUCUGGCUUCCUUGGAGAACCAGACCCCACCUUAUGGCUCUGGUCACAGUUGCAGCCAUAUACUUCUAUGCGUCACUAUUUGAAUUCAUAGCAGCUCCGCCCUGACUCCCCAGAGUGCAGAACCUGGCACAUGGCUGCGUUCAUGUUUUCUUUUUAACAGUGCUGGGCAUGGAAUGUCAGUCCUCACACAGGCUAGGGAAGAACUCUACAACUGAGCUACAACCUGGCCUCAACAGACAGACACCUAGACAGAUGGACGAGUGGGUCCGGCCCAGAAGGGACCUCACACACAUGCUCUGGGUCAUGGGAAUUGUUGAAGCAUCCUAGGCGGAGCUCAGCAGCUGAGCUCAAGAAUAACUUUCGUAAGUAGCUGGGAGGUACCAUGGAGAGUAAUUUUAUUUUUCUUUUGGUCCUCCCAGAUGAGUUAAAUAUUUUUAAUGACCAUCAUUUA